rnacentral:lncRNA from 1 species
CCGGGGGCCCAGUGGGGGCUGACUGCUCCCAGAAUCGAGCUAGAGAGAGGCGGAAGGUGUCCAGGUGGCCAUUGGAGAGGUCGAGGCCAGCGGGGGAUGCAGCAGCGGUAGAGGGUGGUGGGUAGUGGGGUGGUGCAUCGUCCUUGCGGCGCCGUCGGGUGCGCACCUCCAGGCAGUUCUGGCCUUUGAGGUGGCGCUGCAGGUGGUCCUCCUUGGCGAAAGCCUUGUGGCACAGGUGGCACUCAUAGGGCCGGUCCCCUGUGUGCAGGUGCAUGUGGUUCUUGAGGUCGUAGCUGUGCAGGAAGCGGGCUGGGCAGUGCGGGCAUGAGUAGGGGCGCUCUCCCGUGUGCUUCCGCAUGUGGAUCUUCAGCUUGUCGUUCCUGGUGAAUCGAACACCGCAGACCUCGCAGGCAAAGGGCUUCUCGCCUGUGUGGGUCCUCAUGUGGCGAGGCAGUUUGCCUGCCCCAUGGAUGAUCUUGUGGCAGACAGGGCACUCCUGAGGCAUCUGGGAGCGGCGUUUGCGCACCAGCUUGUCUUGGCUGUCCAGGCCUGGUGCCAGGUUGUCCUGGUGCAGGGAGCUUAGGUAGGCCAUCAGGUCAGGAUCGAUGGCAUCCUCAUCUGAGCCCAGCUCCUCUG